rnacentral:rRNA from 1 species
GACGAACGCUGGCGGCGUGCCUAAUACAUGCAAGUAGAACGCACAGUUUAUACCGUAGCUUGCUACACCAUAGACUGUGAGUUGCGAACGGGCGAGUAACGCGUAGGUAACCUGCCUGGUAGCGGGGGAUAACUAUUGGAAACGAUAGCUAAUACCGCAUAAUAUUAAUUAUUGCAUGAUAAUUAAUUGAAAGGUGCAAUUGCACCACUACCAGAUGGACCUGCGUUGUAUUAGCUAGUAGGUGAGGUAACGGCUCACCUAGGCGACGAUACAUAGCCGACCUGAGAGGGUGAUCGGCCACACUGGGACUGAGACACGGCCCAGACUCCUACGGGAGGCAGCAGUAGGGAAUCUUCGGCAAUGGACGAAAGUCUGACCGAGCAACGCCGCGGGAGUGAAGAAGGUUUUCGGAUCGUAAAGCUCUGUUGUAAGAGAAGAACGGGUGUGAGAGUGGAAAGUUCACACUGUGACGGUAUCUUACCAGAAAGGGACGGCUAACUACGUG